CGAUAAUGUUCACACACAUAUUUGUAACCUUGAUUUUUAAAUCAUUAUACUCCCUUUGAGGCAUUUCAAAUGUUUACACGGUAUAGAACAAAAAUAUUUCCAAAUGGAUUUGGUUUGGGCAAUGCUUUCAGUUCAGUUCAAUAUAUAAUGACAAUAAUCAAAAAUUCUCAGGCUACCCAUUCGGCUUUUGUAAUUUGCCGCACGCCGUCGAGAUACGAGAUACAAGCAAGAAUCGACACCGAGACGAGACGAGAUGAGAGAAAUGAAUUUAAAAACAAUUUGCGGUCGGAACACACAAAAGCAACCAUGAGUUACACAUACUCCCAUGUAGUUCAUCACACACAAAUCUUUGUAGCUUACUCGUUUCUAUGUGUGUGAGUUGCCCUGAGAAGCGGAACAACAGCAAAAGGUGAACUCGUUGGCUGGUAAUGGAAUUCUGGCCGCUGGGCUAUUUUUAACCGUACUAUUUCCCGGUGUGAUCUUCAACGAGUUGAAGCAAUCAUUUGUUACAACGUUUUAUGAAUGAACGCUAAGAUAAGCAUGAAAGGCACCACAGCACAUGGUAACCAAACACCAAGCAUAAACGAAACUGAGAAAUCUAAAAAUAAAUCAAAAGACAUAAAACAGUUGUACAGAAAAAGCAACAAAAAGCUCGCACAAAUUAUAAAAAGAAGAAACGUAUGUGCGUGUGCCUAAGCUCAAAUGAACUUUUGGUGAUCUGGUUAUCAACUGCCCGGCUAGCUCAGUCGGUAGAGCAUGAGACUCUUAAUCUCAGGGUCGUGGGUUCGAGCCCCACGUUGGGCGAAAAUCAAUUUUUUGU